rnacentral:rRNA from 1 species
UAGUUAGAGUUUUGACGUGGCUCAGGACGAACGCUGGCGGCGUGCUUAACACAUGCAAGUCGAGCGGUAAGGCCCUUCGGGGUACACGAGCGGCGAACGGGUGAGUAACACGUGAGCAACCUGCCCCUGACUCCGGGAUAAGCGGUGGAAACGCCGUCUAAUACCGGAUAUGACACACCAUCUCCUGGUGGUGUGUGGAAAGUUUUGUCGGUCAGGGAUGGGCUCGCGGCCUAUCAGCUAGUUGGUGGGGUAAAGGCCUACCAAGGCGAUUACGGGUAGCCGGCCUGAGAGGGCGACCGGCCACACUGGGACUGAGACACGGCCCAGACUCCUGCGGGAGGCAGCAGUGGGGAAUAUUGCACAAUGGGCGAAAGCCUGAUGCAGCGACGCCGCGUGGGGGAUGACGGCCUUCGGGUUGUAAACCUCUUUUACCACCAACGCAGGCCCCGGGUUCUCUCGGGGUGACGGUAGGUG